AAAGGAUGAAGUUGUAGGGCAGGAAGUCUUAUGACACUCAGAACAGCUACUCAAUGGAAAUCACAAACAGAAUGAGUUUCAUCCACAUGUCAAGACACUACUACCAACAAAGCUAUUUCAGAGCACCUAUCCUAAAUACCUAGCUGUCUCUUCCACUUAAAGCAAGUGUUUCCAAACCUGUCCCGAGGCAGAGAUGACCCUAAAGAGCCCCUCAGGAGCACUUAUUUGUGGUUUCUAGACUGAAGGCUGGCUGUGCAACUUUGGGAAAGAGAUGGAUUCAAUGGUGCUCACUUUCCUUUGGAUCUCUG